rnacentral:lncRNA from 1 species
CAAAAGAAAAACAUGAGCCCAAUACAGUACCUCAUAGGGCAGGCAAUCAUUGUACUUAGGGUCACUCUCCCAUCUGUUAUCUUAAUUGUAUCGAUUUAGUCUGGUCGAUCAGGAGAGCGAGUGCGAGAGAGAUUGAAAUAGCUAUGCCCAACCUAUCCAUACGUGCUUGUUGAAUCAAUUGUAUUCCGAUAGCGCGGCAACUCAUGUUGUUUAUUCCUUUCUUAAUCCAGCAUCCAGUAGGUCGCUGAAUAUGGGCAUGCCCGAAGGCAAAAAAGGCUAUCCGAGAUACU